rnacentral:pre_miRNA from 1 species
AAAAUAUUGGACCGUCGGUCUACCGAAAAAUAUCACCAGCUCGGUGGAAGAUCUUCUCUUUGUCGU